rnacentral:rRNA from 1 species
CCUACGGGAGGCAGCAGUGAGGAAUAUUGGUCAAUGGCCGUAAGGCUGAACCAGCCAAGUCGCGUGAAGGAAGAAGGAUCUAUGGUUUGUAAACUUCUUUUAUAGGGGAAUAAAGGUAUCCACGUGUGGAUAUUUGCAUGUACCCUAUGAAUAAGCAUCGGCUAACUCCGUGCCAGCAGCCGCGGUAAUACGGAGGAUGCGAGCGUUAUCAGGAUUUAUUGGGUUUAAAGGGAGCGUAGAUGGGUUGUUAAGUCAGUUGUGAAAGGUUGCGGCUCAACCGUAAAAUUGCAAUUGAUACUGGCAGUCUUGAGUACAGUUGAGGUAGGCGGAAUUCGUGGUGUAGCGGUGAAAUGCGUAGAUAUCACGAAGAACCCCGAUUGCGAAGGCAGCUUACGAAACUGUGACUGACAUUGAUGCUCGAAAGUGUGGGUAUCAAACAGGAUUAGAUACCCUAGUAGUC